UGGGGAAUCUUCCGCAAUGGACGAAAGUCUGACGGAGCAACGCCGCGUGUAUGAUGAAGGUCUUCGGAUUGUAAAGUACUGUCAUUGGGGAAGAACGGUUUUCUUGAGAAUAUUGAGAAGACAUGACGGUACCCAAGGAGGAAGCCCCGGCUAACUACGUGCCAGCAGCCGCGGUAAUACGUAGGGGGCAAGCGUUGUCCGGAAUUAUUGGGCGUAAAGGGCGCGUAGGCGGGCCUUUAAGUCCGGUGUGAAAGAUCAGGGCUCAACCCUGAGAGUGCAUCGGAAACUGGAGGCCUUGAGGACAGGAGAGGAAAGUGGAAUUCCACGUGUAGCGGUGAAAUGCGUAGAUAUGUGGAGGAACACCAGUGGCGAAAGGCGACUUUCUGGACUGUAACUGACGCUGAGGCGCGAAAGCGUGGGGAGCAAACAGGAUUAGAUACCCUGGUAGUCCACGCCGUAAACGAUGAGUGCUAGGUGUAGAGGGUAUCGACCCCUUCUGUGCCGCAGUUAACACAAUAAGCACUCCGCCUGGGGAGUACGGCCGCAAGGUUGAAACUCAAAUGAAUUGACGGGGUCAUAGCUG
rnacentral:rRNA from 1 species